rnacentral:lncRNA from 12 species
GUGCCCAGGCCCCUGCGAGUCCCGCCUGGAGAGGGGCCUCCCGUCAGCCUGCGGCCCAGGGCGACCGGCCGGGACAGGAGGCGGCGGUGCUGAAAGCUCAGGACGACAGGGGCCUGUCGGGGCGCGCCGGUCGGCUAAACUCGUCUGUUCACUGCCAAGGGGGGGGAAACACGCCCUCCACCUCGAGAUGCCUCUUGAUUUACGCCCUUGAACAGGCCGGACGCUUGUGCAGGUUGUGCACCCUCCCUGUGCGGGGAGGCCACCGGCUCGGCCACCUCACUGCACCCACGGCCCUGCGCAGCCGGGCAGUAAAUGUGAUUUUCUGAGUUCUUUGACAGCUGGUGACAAAGGGCCAGGUCUGUUUAUUUAUGUGGAUUCUACUUCCCAUCGCGAGCGUUAGUUCUUGAAAUAUUCUGAAAUCUCUAGGCCGUCCUGUGCUUUUCCACGUCACGUGAGAGACGGUCACGUCCCCAGAUGACUCUGAUGUGAUUCAGCGUCGCCCUGUGUGGUGCCGGUGUCCGGCCGCCUACGGGCCACCAAGGGCAGCAGAGGUCCCGCAGGCCCCGCAGCCUCACCCGACCCGGCCUGCGGGGUCCUGGACUCACAAGACCAGAACCUGGGGCUGGUCCAGAAUGUGCGGCAAAGGCCCCAGCCCAGGCCCACCCCUGGCGAGUCCGGCGUGGCUCCUGGCUGGCUGGGCGUCCAUCCGGGAACCACAGGAUGCGAAACUUCCUCCCCACCCCACUGUCCCCUGUUUGUAAAUGUGAAAACUGAGUCCAGAAGGAGGCCGUGUGUCCGAGACCGUCCGACCAAGUUCGGGACAGGGCUCUCCUGAGACCCAAGGCUGUUUCCAGGGCCUGCCAGUCACCGGGCAUCCUCUCGCCGGGCACUGGGAUGUUGCCCCAGAACCUCCGGGGGGCCCGUCUGGCCCCGGGCCCGGGGGACGGCUGCAGUGACGCCGAGUGCCUGCAGACUGCGGUUUCCAGGGAAGAGGCCUCCGGGACCCCCUCACGUCACCGAAAUCCCACCUGGAAGAACCCGGGCCCUGGCCCGACCUGCUCCGUCUGGCUCAUGUGGCUUCGGGCCAUUUGUCUUGUCUGAACGAGACAGCGGUGUGGGCCUCAGCCACCAGUCCCUGGCGUGUGGCCGUCACCCAGCCUUGGGGGGCGCCUGCAGAGCUAGCGGGGGGCCGGCUGCAGACGGGGAGGCCACCGGGUGGCCGGUGCCCUGGGCGGGCCCUCGUUCUCCACUACAAACACACGCGAGCUUUGAAUCAGUGUGCAUCUCCCUCCAGUUCGCCACCGCGGCCGCCUCCUGAUCCAUCUCACGGUGGCGGGGCUCCGGGCUACCGUGCUGGGGACUGUGGCCCCUGCCGUGGUGCCUCGUGGAUGGGCACAGCCCCUCGCAGCCUCCAGGGGACAUUCGUGCUCAGGAAGUCACGUUCCUGCAGCUCAGAGGCCUAGAGCCCCCGCGGGCAGGGACCCGGUGGCUGACUCCCCACGUACCAAAACCACGUCCAGCAUGCAGCGCCUGCCCAGCAAAAGUUCGCUGGGGGACCAGGGUGCUGAGCGCCUGUCCUCAUCUGGCUGCGGUAACAGGACGCCACAGACCCGGUGGCUUCUAAACAACGGAAAUGUGACUCUCGCAGUUCUUGGGCCUGGAAGCCCGAGGGGUAGUGUCUGGUAAGGGCUUGCUUCCUGGUUGGCAGAGGGCUGACUUCCCACUGUGUCCCCCAAUGGUGUCCCCGCAUGGUGUCCCCGCACUAUGUCUCCACAUGGUGUCCCCCAUGGUGUCCCCACAGGGCCGAAGGGGUGAGGGAGCUCUGGGGAGGGUCCCUCCUAUUAAAAGCACUAAUCUCCA